rnacentral:rRNA from 1 species
AUCGACGGGAUGGUUUGGCACCUCGAUGUCGGCUCGUCGCAUCCUGGGGCUGGAGUCGGUCCCAAGGGUUGGGCUGUUCGCCCAUUAAAGCGGUACGCGAGCUGGGUUUAGAACGUCGUGAGACAGUUCGGUCCCUAUCCGCUGUGCGCGUAGGAGUCUUGAGAAGGGCUGUCCCUAGUACGAGAGGACCGGGACGGACGAACCUCUGGUGUGCCAGUUGUUCUGCCAAGGGCAUGGCUGGUUGGCUACGUUCGGGAGGGAUAACCGCUGAAAGCAUCUAAGCGGGAAGCCUGCUUCGAGAUGAGGACUCCCACCCACUUGAUGGGGUAAGGCUCCCAGUAGACGACUGGGUUGAUAGGCCGGAUAUGGAAGCACGGUAACGUGUGGAGUUGACCGGUACUAAUAGGCCGAGGGCUUGUCCUCAGUUG